AACGAACGCUGGCGGCAGGCCUAACACAUGCAAGUCGAGCGAGGACUUCGGUCCUAGCGGCGGACGGGUGAGUAACGCGUGGGAACGUGCCCCUUGGUACGGAAUAGCCCCGGGAAACUGGGAGUAAUACCGUAUGAGCUCUACGGAGGAAAGAUUUAUCGCCAAGGGAUCGGCCCGCGUUGGAUUAGGUAGUUGGUGGGGUAAUGGCCUACCAAGCCGACGAUCCAUAGCUGGUUUGAGAGGAUGAUCAGCCACACUGGGACUGAGACAAGGGCCAGACUCCUACGGGAGGCAGCAGUGGGGAAUCUUAGACAAUGGGCGCAAGCCUGAUCUAGCCAUGCCGCGUAGGCGAUGAAGGCCUUAGGGUUGUAAAGCUCUUUCAGCUGGGAAGAUAAUGACUGUACCAGCAGAAGAAGCCCCGGCUAACUCCGUGCCAGCCGCCGCGGUAAGAC
rnacentral:rRNA from 1 species